GAUGAACGCUGGCGGCGUGCUUAACACAUGCAAGUCGAACGGGAAUUAUUUUAUUGAAACUUCGGUCGAUUUAAUUUAAUUCUAGUGGCGGACGGGUGAGUAACGCGUGGGUAACCUGCCUUAUACAGGGGGAUAACAGUCAGAAAUGGCUGCUAAUACCGCAUAAGCGCACAGAGCUGCAUGGCUCAGUGUGAAAAACUCCGGUGGUAUAAGAUGGACCCGCGUUGGAUUAGCUUGUUGGCAGGGUAACGGCCUACCAAGGCGACGAUCCAUAGCCGGCCUGAGAGGGUGAACGGCCACAUUGGGACUGAGACACGGCCCAGACUCCUACGGGAGGCAGCAGUGGGGAAUAUUGCACAAUGGGGGAAACCCCGAUGCAGCGACGCCGCGUGAAGGAAGAAGUAUCUCGGUAUGUAAACUUCUAUCAGCAGGGAAGAUAGUGACGGUACCUGACGAAGAAGCCCCGGCUAACUACGUG
rnacentral:rRNA from 1 species